GAUGAACGCUAGCUACAGGCUUAACACAUGCAAGUCGAGGGGCAGCAUAGUCUUAGCUUGCUAAGGCCGAUGGCGACCGGCGCACGGGUGAGUAACGCGUAUCCAACCUGCCUUACACUCUUGGACAGCCUUCUGAAAGGGAGAUUAAUACAAGAUGUUAUCAUGAGUAAGCAUUUUCGCAUGAUUAAAGGUUUACCGGUGUAAGAUGGGGAUGCGUUCCAUUAGAUAGUAGGCGGGGUAACGGCCCACCUAGUCUUCGAUGGAUAGGGGUUCUGAGAGGAAGGUCCCCCACAUUGGAACUGAGACACGGUCCAAACUCCUACGGGAGGCAGCAGUGAGGAAUAUUGGUCAAUGGACGAGAGUCUGAACCAGCCAAGUAGCGUGAAGGAUGAAGGUUCUAUGGAUUGUAAACUUCUUUUAUACGGGAAUAAACGAAUCCACGUGUGGAUUUUUGCAUGUACCGUAUGAAUAAGGAUCGGCUAACUCCGUGCCAGCAGCCGCGGUAAUACGGAGGAUCCGAGCGUUAUCCGGAUUUAUUGGGUUUAAAGGGAGCGUAGAUGGGUUGUUAAGUCAGUUGUGAAAGUUUGCGGCUCAACCGUAAAAUUGCAAUUGAUACUGGCAGUCUUGAGUACAGUUGAGGUAGGCGGAAUUCGUGGUGUAGCGGUGAAAUGCUUAGAUAUCGCGAAGAACUCCGAUUGCGAAGGCAGCUUACUAACCCGUAACUGACAUUGAUGCUCGAAAGUGUGGGUAUCAAACAGGAUUAGAUACCCUGGUAGUCCACACGGUAAACGAUGAAUACUCGCUGUAGGCGAUAUACAGUCUGCGGCCAAGCGAAAGCAUUAAGUAUUCCACCUGGGGAGUACGCCGGCAACGGUGAAACUCAAAGGAAUUGACGGGGGCCCGCACAAGCGGAGGAACAUGUGGUUUAAUUCGAUGAUACGCGAGGAACCUUACCCGGGCUUAAAUUGCAACCGAAUAUGGCGGAAACGCUAUAGCUAGCAAUAGCGGUUGUGAAGGUGCUGCAUGGUUGUCGUCAGCUCGUGCCGUGAGGUGUCGGCUUAAGUGCCAUAACGAGCGCAACCCUUGCCGAUAGUUACUAACAGGUUAUGCUGAGGACUCUGUCGGGACUGCCAUCGUAAGAUGUGAGGAAGGUGGGGAUGACGUCAAAUCAGCACGGCCCUUACGUCCGGGGCUACACACGUGUUACAAUGGGGGGUACAGAGGGCUGCUACCACGCAAGUGGAUGCCAAUCCCAAAAACCUCUCUCAGUUCGGAUUGAAGUCUGCAACCCGACUUCAUGAAGCUGGAUUCGCUAGUAAUCGCGCAUCAGCCACGGCGCGGUGAAUACGUUCCCGGGCCU
rnacentral:rRNA from 1 species